rnacentral:rRNA from 1 species
GACGAACGCUGGCGGCGUGCUUAACACAUGCAAGUCGAACGGUAAGGCCCUUCGGGGUACACGAGUGGCGAACGGGUGAGUAACACGUGGGUGAUCUGCCCUGCACUUCGGGAUAAGCCUGGGAAACUGGGUCUAAUACCGGAUAGGACCACUGCCUGCAUGGGUGGUGGUGGAAAGCUUUUGCGGUGUGGGAUGGGCCCGCGGCCUAUCAGCUUGCUGGUGGGGUGAUGGCCUACCAAGGCGACGACGGGUAGCCGGCCUGAGAGGGUGACCGGCCACACUGGGACUUAGAUACGGCCCAGACUCCUACGGGAGGCAGCAGUGGGGAAUAUUGCACAAUGGGCGCAAGCCUGAUGCAGCGACGCCGCGUGAGGGAUGACGGCCUUCGGGUUGUAAACCUCUUUCAGCUAUGACGAAGCGCAAGUGACGGUAGUAGCAGAAGAAGGACCGGCCAACUACGUGCCAGCAGCCGCCGUAA